CUACGUGCCAGCAGCCGCGGUAAUACGUAGGGUGCGAGCGUUAAUCGGAAUUACUGGGCGUAAAGCGAGCGCAGACGGUUACUUAAGCAGGAUGUGAAAUCCCCGGGCUCAACCUGGGAAUUGCGUUCUGAACUGGGUGGCUAGAGUGUGUCAGAGGGGGGUAGAAUUCCACGUGUAGCAGUGAAAUGCGUAGAGAUGUGGAGGAAUACCGAUGGCGAAGGCAGCCCCCUGGGAUAGCACUGACGUUCAUGCCCGAAAGCGUGGGCAGCAAACAGGAUUAGAUACCCUGGUAGUCCACGCCCUAAACGAUGUCGAUUAGCUGUUGGGCAACUUGAUUGCUUGGUAGCGAAGCUAACGCGUGAAAUCGACCGCCUGGGGAGUACGGUCGCAAGAUUAAAACUCAAAGGAAUUGACGGGGACCCGCACAAGCGGUGGAUGAUGUGGAUUAAUUCGAUGCAACGCGAAGAACCUUACCUGGUCUUGACAU
rnacentral:rRNA from 1 species